UUCGAGACUGAUAUAACCGUUGAGGUUAAUGAAAUCAAGAGAUCUGUGGCAUCAUCUACAAAGCGAAAUACAGUUCGGUUUGUGGAUCUCAAGCGCAGGAGAUAUUAUUUCCCACUUUUGGUUGGUAUAGGGUUGCUUGUACUACAACAACUCGGUGGAAUUAAUGGCGUCCUAUUCUAUUCCAGUACAAUAUUUGAAUCUGCAGG